AAAGUUAAAAUCCCUUAUAUUAAAAAAAAGGACCAUAGUUUUGCUAUGUAUCCGCUCUUAGAAGUUUGUAUCUCGUGUUGUAGUAGUAGACGUAACUGUUUAACUAGCUUGUUAUUGAUAACACGUAGUCGUAACUGAAAGGUUGAUCGAUCACAAUGUGGCCUGAACAAAGCCCAUGACUUAUAUUACAGCAGUGAGGAAUCUUGGUCAAUAGCCGCAAGGCUGAACCAGCAACUUGGAGGAAUGUAUGGCAAUAGCCAAUUGCAUUAUUAUGAUGCAGUAUCGAAGUCGAAUAAAGUUCUGGGUAGACUAUGAUAAUGACAUUAUCUAUCUAUGUGGUCUUGACCAAACUACGUGCCAGCAGUCGCGGUAAUACGUUAAAGACUAGUGUUAUUCAUGUUUAAUCGGUUUAAAGAGUACCAAGACUGUUAAUAAAGCCCAUAAAGGGGACACAUUAACUAGAGUUAUAUGAAAGGAGGCUCUUAGGUACUAUCGAGUGUAGAGAUAAAAUUCUUUGAUACAGAUGAAGGCACGGGUCAAUGCGAAGGCAUCUUCUUAUGUAAUAACUGACGUUGUAGGACGAAGGCUUAGCGAAGAAAAAAGGAUUAGAUACCCUCGUAUUCUAGGCAGAAAAUGAUGAAUGUCAUAGGUUGAAUAUAAUAUUAUUUUAUUUGGUCUAUAAAUGAAAGUGUAAGCAUUCCACCUCAAGAGUAAUUUGGCAACAUUGGAACUGAAAUCAUUAGGCCGCUUUUGAAACCAGUAGUGAAGUAUGUCGUUUAAUUUGAUAACCCGCAAAAAACCUUACCACAUUUUGAAUAAAUAUUUAUAUAUAAAUAUUUAUAUAUAUAUAUAUAUAUUUACAAGCGUUGCACGGCUGUCUUCAGUGAAUGUCGUGAGAAUUGGUUAACUCCAUAUAAUUGACGCAAACCCUUACUUUAUUUAUAGAUAAAGUUGUUCACCUGUUAUGGGAUAUGAUAAUAGGGA
rnacentral:rRNA from 1 species